CCUGAUAUAAAUGAUAAGCUAGACAUUAGAUUAUUCCAGAAGUUUCGAGUUCAUGGGGAACUCUUUGUCCAGCAGUUGAUAAAUAUGAGUAUGAUUAAGACAACCCAGAACUUGACAGAAGCAAUGUAUCAGAGUUUGUUUCAAGAAUUUGCUGCACAGUUUGGAUUAAUGAGUUUGAGUGUUCCUGUUAUUGGUAAAGCACAGGUUGAUAUAGGA